AGUCCCCUUUGAUAUUGGCCUGGUUCAUUCAGAUCUUCUUGAACCAUAUAUGCAUUCUCUUUGAUAUCUGAUUGAGCCGCGCCAAUAUCUCAGUGCUCUCU
rfam:Brassica napus, WGS project CCCW01000000 data, contig: 15183